AGCAGGAAAGCAGGGGAUCGCAAGACCUUGCGCUGAUUGAGCGGCCGAUAUCAGAUUAGCUUGUUGGUGAGGUAAAAGCUCACCAAGGCGACGAUCCGUAGCGGGUCUGAGAGGAUGAUCCGCCACACUGGAACUGAGACACGGUCCAGACUCCUACGGGAGGCAGCAGUGGGGAAUUUUGGACAAUGGGGGCAACCCUGAUCCAGCCAUGCCGCGUGAGUGAAGAAGGCCUUCGGGUUGUAAAGCUCUUUCAGCCGGGAAGAAAACGCAUGGGUUAAUACCCUGUGUGGAUGACGGUACCGGAAUAAGAAGCACCGGCUAACUACGUGCCAGCAGCCGCGGUAAUACGUAGGGUGCGAGCGUUAAUCGGAAUUACUGGGCGUAAAGCGUGCGCAGGCGGUUUUGUAAGACAGGCGUGAAAUCCCCGGGCUUAACCUGGGAACUGCGUUUGUGACUGCAAGGCUAGAGUACGGCAGAGGGGGGUGGAAUUCCACGUGUAGCAGUGAAAUGCGUAGAGAUGCGGAGGAACACCAAUGGCGAAGGCAGCCCCCUGGGUCGAUACUGACGCUCAUGCACGAAAGCGUGGGUAGCAAACAGGAUUAGAUACCCUGGUAGUCCACGCCCUAAACGAUGUCAACUAGGUGUUGGGAGGGUAAAACCUUUUAGUACCGGAGCUAACGCGUGAAGUUGACCGCCUGGGGAGUACGGCCGCAAGGUUAAAACUCAAAGGAAUUGACGGGGACCCGCACAAGCGGUGGAUGAUGUGGAUUAAUUCGAUGCAACGCGAAAAACCUUACCUACCCUUGACAUGCCAAGAACUUUCCAGAGAUGGAUUGGUGCCCGAAAGGGAACUUGGACACAGGUGCUGCAUGGCUGUCGUCAGCUCGUGUCGUGAGAUGUUGGGUUAAGUCCCGCAACGAGCGCAACCCUUGUCGUUAAUUGCCAUCAUUUAGUUGGGCACUUUAACGAGACUGCCGGUGACAAACCGGAGGAAGGUGGGGAUGACGUCAAGUCCUCAUGGCCCUUAUGGGUAGGGCUUCACACGUCAUACAAUGGUCGGUACAAAGGGUCGCCAAGCCGCGAGGUGGAGCCAAUCCCAGAAAGCCGAUCGUAGUCCGGAUCGCAGUCUGCAACUCGACUGCGUGAAGUCGGAAUCGCUAGUAAUCGUGGAUCAGAAUGUCACGGUGAAUACGUUCCCGGGUCUUGUACACACCGCCCGUCACACCAUGGGAGCGGGUUCCGCCAGAAGUAGGUAGCCUAACCGCAAGGAGGGCGCUUACCACGGCGGGGUUCGUGACUGGGGUGAAGUCGUAACGAGGUA
rnacentral:rRNA from 1 species